rnacentral:rRNA from 1 species
UACAGAGGGUGCAAGCGUUAAUCGGAAUUACUGGGCGUAAAGCGUGCGUAGACGGUUACAUAAGUCAGAUGUGAAAGCCCCGGGCUCAACCUGGGAAUUGCAUUUGAGACUGUGUAGCUAGGGUGCGGAAGAGGGAAGCGGAAUUUCCGGUGUAGCGGUGAAAUGCGUAGAUAUCGGAAGGAACACCAGUGGCGAAAAGCGGCUUCCUGGUCCAGCACCGACGUUCAGGCACGAAAGCGUGGGGGAGCAAACAGG